AGACCAGCGUAUCGGAGUGACUGGCGUAAAAGUUGCGUAGGCGGCGUGCUAAGCGAGCAAUGAAAACAGAGGGCUCAACCCUCUGCCUAUUGUUCGAACUGGUAUGCUCGAGAGUGGUAGAGGUUAUUGGAAUUUCUAGUGUAGGAGUGAAAUCCGUAGAUAUUAGAAGGAACACCGAUGGCGUAGGCAGAUAACUGGACCAUUUCUGACGCUAAGGCACGAAAGCGUGGGGAGCGAACCGGAUUAGAUACCCGGGUAGUCCACGCCGUAAACGAUGGAUGUUAAAUGUCGGGGGUAUCGACCCCUUCGGUAUUAAAGCUAACGCGUUAAACAUCCCGCCUGUGGAGUACGGCCGCAAGGCUAAAACAUAAAGGAAUUGACGGGGACCCGCACAAGCGGUGGAGGAUGUUCUUUAAUUCGAUGCUAAGCGAAGAACCUUACCAGGACUUGACAUCCCUUGAAUUUCUCCGAAAGGAGAGAGUGCUUUAUUGAACAAGGUGACAGAUUCUGCAUGGCCGUCGUCAGCUCGUGUCGUGAGAUGUUUGGUUAAGUCCAUCAACGAGCGCAACCCUUGUCGUCAGUUGUAUUUUUCAGGCGAAACUGCCCCGGCAACGGGGAGGAAGGAGGGGAUGAUGUCAGGUCAGUAUUGAUCUUACGUCCUGGGCUAGAAACGUCCUACAAUGGCCAGUACAACGGGCAGCGAAACAGUAAUGUGAAGCAAAUCCCAUCAAAGCUGGUCCCAGUUCGGACUGAGGGCUGAAACUCGCCCUCACGAAGUCGGAAUCGCUAGUAAUCGCAGAUCAGCACGCUGCGGUGAAUACGUUCCCGGGUCUUGUACACACCGCCCGUCAAACCAUGAAAGUCAGGAGCACCUGACGUCCGAAUUUA
rnacentral:rRNA from 1 species